rnacentral:rRNA from 1 species
UACGUAGGCAGCAAGCGUUGUUCGGAGUUACUGGGCGUAAAGGGUGCGUAGGCGGCUUUUUAAGUUUGGUGUGAAAUCUCCCGGCUUAACUGGGAGGGUGCAGCGGAAACUAGAGUGCUAGAGGGUGGGAGAGGUAAGCGGAAUUCCUGGUGUAGCGGUGAAAUGCGUAGAUAUCGGAAGGAACGCCCGUGGCGAAAGCGAGGUCCUGGACGCUUACUGACGCUGAGACGCGAAAGCCAGGGGAGCGAACGGG